CCUACGGGGUGCAGCAGUGGGGAAUAUUGGACAAUGGGCGAAAGCCUGAUCCAGCCAUGCCGCGUGUGUGAAGAAGGCCUUCGGGUUGUAAAGCACUUUCAGUGGGGAAGAAAGCCUUGGGGCUAAUACCCUCGAGGAAGGACAUCACCCACAGAAGAAGCACCGGCUAACUCCGUGCCAGCAGCCGCGGUAAUACGGAGGGUGCGAGCGUUAAUCGGAAUUACUGGGCGUAAAGCGCGCGUAGGCGGUCUGAUAAGCCGGUUGUGAAAGCCCCGGGCUCAACCUGGGAACGGCAUCCGGAACUGUCAGGCUAGAGUGCAGGAGAGGAAGGUAGAAUUCCCGGUGUAGCGGUGAAAUGCGUAGAGAUCGGGAGGAAUACCAGUGGCGAAGGCGGCCUUCUGGACUGACACUGACGCUGAGGUGCGAAAGCGUGGGUAGCAAACAGGAUUAGAUAUCCGAGUAGUC
rnacentral:rRNA from 1 species